GACGAACGCUGGCGGCGUGCCUAAUACAUGCAAGUUGAGCGCUGAAGGUUGGUACUUGUACCAACUGGAUGAGCAGCGAACGGGUGAGUAACGCGUGGGGAAUCUGCCUUUGAGCGGGGGACAACAUUUGGAAACGAAUGCUAGUACCGCAUAAAAACUUUAAACACAAGUUUUAAGUUUGAAAGAUGCAAUUGCAUCACUCAAAGAUGAUCCCGCGUUGUAUUAGCUAGUUGGUGAGGUAAAGGCUCACCAAGGCGAUGAUACAUAGCCGACCUGAGAGGGUGAUCGGCCACAUUGGGACUGAGACACGGCCCAAACUCCUACGGGAGGCAGCAGUAGGGAAUCUUCGGCAAUGGACGAAAGUCUGACCGAGCAACGCCGCGUGAGUGAAGAAGGGUGUCGGAUCGUAAAACUCUGUUGGUAGAGAAGAACGUUGGUGAGAGUGGAAAGCUCAUCAAGUGACGGUAACUACCCAGAAAGGGACGGCUAACUACGUG
rnacentral:rRNA from 1 species